UGGGGAAUAUUGGACAAUGGGCGAAAGCCUGAUCCAGCAAUGCCGCGUGUGUGAAGAAGGUCUUCGGAUUGUAAAGCACUUUCGACGGGGACGAUGAUGACGGUACCCGUAGAAGAAGCCCCGGCUAACUUCGUACCAG
rnacentral:rRNA from 1 species